AAGCUGCUGUUCAGGCAGGUCUUGUAGGAGAAGACACUAAAGACAAACUGGUGUUUGCUCUGGAAUCAGCAGCAGCUUUGGCCUGGUGUUUGAAGCCUCCACCUGAUGGCUUCAUCACACAGAACCACAGCAGAACCUCCCAGGAUCAACCUCCAGAACCAGCAGGCGCUGGUACCAGCUGUAACGAUCCAGCAGGAAGUCCAGAACCAGGAGAAACCAGAGUUCUGCUGGAGACCCAGAACCAAGAUCAGGUGGCAGAACCAGGAGAAACCAGAGUUCUGCUGGAGACCCAGAACCAAGAUCAGGUGGCAGUUCACUUUAAGAAGGAACCAGAAGGAACCAAAGUUCUGCUGGAGACCAGAAACCCAGACAGAAAACGGUACCUUGUUGUCGACUGUGCAGAUCGACAUGUUACCUUCACUGUUCAUGAAGUCCUGGAAGGAGGAGCCUUGAAGAUGCUGGACAAUGACUUUACACGGUAUCUGG